GCAUGGCUGAAUUCUGUUCCAGCUGCUCUGUGGUGGAUACAGUCAGACACCAUGCGACAGUCUUGUCUCAUUUCUGCUUUAAUGACUGUUUGAGUGCUUUCCUCAGCCUCAUGCAGCUGCACAGCAAUGAGUACAUUG